AACGAACGCUGGCGGCAUGCCUAACACAUGCAAGUCGAACGAGACCUUCGGGUCUAGUUGCGCACGGGUGCGUAACGCGUGGGAACCUUCCCUUAUGUUCGGAAUAACUCCCCGAAAGGGGUGCUAAUACCGGAUAAUUUCUUCUAACCAAAGAUUUAUCGACUUUGUAUGGGCCCGAGUUGUAUUAGCUAGUUGGUAGGGUAAAAGCCUACCAAGGCGAGGAUCCAUAGCUGGUCUGAGAGGAUGAUCAGCAACACUGGGACUAAGACACGGCCCAGAAUCCUACGGGAGGCAGCAGUGGGGAAUAUUGGAAAAUGGGCGAAGGCAUGAUCCAGCACUGCCGCGUGAGUGAUGAAGGCCUUAGGGUUGUAAAGCUCUUUUACCCGGGAUGAUAAUGACAGUACCGGGAGAAUAAGCUCCGGCUAACUCCGUG
rnacentral:rRNA from 1 species